rnacentral:rRNA from 1 species
GACGCACGCUGGCGGCGUGCUUAACACAUGCAAGUCGAACGGAAAGGCCCUGCUUUUGUGGGGUGCUCGAGUGGCGAACGGGUGAGUAACACGUGAGUAACCUGCCCUUUACUUUGGGAUAACUUCAGGAAACUGGGGCUAAUACCGGAUAGGAGCUCCUGCUGCAUGGUGGGGGUUGGAAAGUUUCGGCGGUUGGGGAUGGACUCGCGGCUUAUCAGCUUGUUGGUGGGGUAGUGGCUUACCAAGGCUUUGACGGGUAGCCGGCCUGAGAGGGUGACCGGCGACAUUGGGACUGAGAUACGGCCCAGACUCCUACGGGAGGCAGCAGUGGGGAAUAUUGCACAAUGGGCGGAAGCCUGAUGCAGCAACGCCGCGUGCGGGAUGACGGCCUUCGGGUUGUAAACCGCUUUCGCCUGUGACGAAGCGUGAGUGACGGUAAUGGGUAAAGAAGCACCGGCUAACUACGUG